CGGCGAGUGAAGCGGCAACAGCUCAAAUUUGAAAUCUGGAGUCGUUGUGGCUUCCGAGUUGUAAUUUGCAGAGGGAGCCUCGGAGGGCUGGUCGGUCCAAGUGCCUUGGAACAGGAUACCGCAGAGGGUGAGAGUCCCGUAUCCGGCCGGCGCAGCGCUCCGUGUGAGGCCUCUUCGACGAGUCGAGUUGUUUGGGAAUGCAGCUCUAAGUGGGUGGUAAAUUCCAUCUAAAGCUAAAUACUGGCCAGAGACCGAUAGCGAACAAGUAGAGUGAUCGAAAGAUGAAAAGCACUUUGAAAAGAGAGUUAAACAGUACGUGAAAUUGUUGAAAGGGAAGCGCAUGGGGGCAGACUUGGACGCGGGGUUCAGGGCCUCAGAUAUUGAGGCCUGUACUUCCCCGCGGACAGGCCAGCAUCGGUUCUGGGGGCCGGACAAAGGCGAGGGGAACGUGGCUCUCUCCGGGGAGUGUUAUAGCCCUUUGUGCAAUGCGGCC
rnacentral:rRNA from 1 species